rnacentral:misc_RNA from 1 species
AAAUGAAAUUAUUGGUAAUCAAAACAAAACUCAAUAAUUAAUCAAAAUUGUUAAACUAAAUUAAAAUUGAUAAAUUAAAUUAAUAGGGACCUCAAUUUAAUCUAUCCCAAAUUAGUGGCCUAAUUUAAGAUAGACCAUCUAAUUGGUUAAUGGGUGGCCUCUUAACUAACUUGAGUCUCAUCAAUGAACAAUUAAAAUUUAUAUUAAUUUAAUGUGUUUGGAAAUCAAAUUAUUGGUAAUCAAAGUAAAACUCAAUACUUAAAUUAAUAAAUUAAAUCAAAGUUGAUAAAUUAAAUUAAUAGAGAUCUCAAUUUAAUCUAUCCCAAA